rnacentral:tRNA from 1 species
GCCUCUGUGGCGCAAUUGGGUAGCGCGUUCGGCUGUUAACCGGAAGGCUGGUGGUUCAAGCCCACCCAGGGGCG